rnacentral:rRNA from 1 species
UACGUAGGCAGCAAGCGUUGUUCGGAGUUACUGGGCGUAAAGAGCGUGUAGGCGGCCACGCAGGUCCGUUGUGAAAACUGGAGGCUCAACCUCCAGCUGUCGACGGAAACCGUAUGGCUAGAGUCCGGAAGAGGAGAGUGGAAUUCCUGGUGUAGCGGUGAAAUGCGCAGAUAUCAGGAAGAACACCAAUGGCGAAGGCAGCUCUCUGGGACGGUACUGACGCUGAGACGCGAAAGCGUGGGGGAGCGAACAGG